CCGAGGCAGAAGAAUCGCUUGGCUCCAGGAGGUUGAGGCUGCAGUGAGCUGUGGCGGCGCCGCUGCAUUCCAGCCUGGGUGAGAGUGAGACCCUGUUUCAAACAACAACAAACAAAACACAUGCACUGUUACUGACAGCCAUCAGAGCUCAGAACCAUGCUGCUGCUCCUGCUGCUGCUGCUGCUGCUUGGCUGUUUUCAUCUGGGCCAGUGGAAUGUAAGGGAGAGAUGGCAAUUGAGGUGCAAAAGCUCAUCAAACACGAUCUGUGGAGGCACAGAAUUAAAGUAUGUCGAGAGUGGAAAGGAUCUUUGCUAUGAGCUGCUCCAACCUCUAAGAGCCGCCACCACCACCACCACCACUGACAAGACAGAGCACACGCCCUGUGCCUGGAAUUAUGACAGAGAUGGUUUAAUUUCAUGUAAUUGUCAGAACUGUGUGAGGAGCUGGUCAGCUCUGACCUGGAGUGUGUCUACCCUGACCGUGUGACACCGGGAUCAAGACCCUCUCCUGGGGUCUUGAGGACGCCACAUGUGGGCGUUGCUCUAAAGAGCGCUUGCUCCUAAGCCUCCUGCACAUGGAACUCCACCAUGGAAUCUGCUUCCCAGGAACUCACCCUGGGACCAGCCCCUCUGAGACUCAAGUCAACAUUUGGUCCUAGGGCUGCAAAGAGGAGGUGCUAAGAGGCCAAAGGCUACUUCCACCUGGAGAACGGGCCCCGCGUGCCAGCUCCCCCAAGGCCUGGCCAGGAUGCUCUGCUCGGAGGCCUGUCCUGACUUCCUCUGCUCAUUGCCACCUGAAAUUACCUAACCAACACCUUUCUUCCUCCCACCCUUCCACAAAUACUUAUUGAGCAUCUGCUAGGUGCCAGUUACUGUUCUGCACAAUGGCAAUUACAGCCAUGAAAGAAAUAAAACAGAAACAUUCCUGUUCUCAUGAAGCUUCCAUUCUAGCAGGGGAGCAGACAAAUAUCAAAUCAAUAAUCAAAAUAAUGUCACUUGGUGAUAGUACUGUGGGGAGGAAAAAGCAGGGAGUGGAGAGGGUUAGGGAGCAGGAUGGAGGAGACACAGUGAACAGGAAAGGGCUCACUGAAAAGGUGACUUUCGAGAAAAACCUGAAGGAGGUGAGGGACUGGGUCACAAAGCUAUUUUGGGAAAAAGCCUUCAAACAGCAGGAACAGCAAAUGCAAAGACCCUGAGGCCAGAGCUUGCUGUGUGUGUUCAAGGAAGAGCAAGGCUGCUCCAGUUGCAGUCGAGGGAGUAAGCAGUAAGAAGUGACCUCAGGGACUGUGGGAGGGAUCAUGGGACUGCAGGUUGCGCAGGCCCCCUAGGCCACUGUAGGGACUUUGGCUUGGACUCAGAAUGCGAUGAGUCACCAGAGGGCUCUGAGCACAGGAGAAAUGAACAUUUUAAAGAAUCACUAUAGGCUGGGAGUGGAGGCUCAUGUCUGUAAUCCCACCACUUUGGGAGGCGGAGGUGGGAGGAUCACUUAAGUCCAGGAGUUCAAGACCAGCCUGGGCAAUGUGGUGAAACCCUGUCUCUACCGAAACACAGAAACACAGACACACACACACACACAGACACAGACACAGACACACACACACACACACAGACACAGACACAGACACACACACACACACACACACACACAAAUUAGCUGGGCAUGGUGGUGCACGUCUGUGGUCCCAGCUACUCAAGAGGCUAAGGUGGGAGGAUGGCUUGAGCCCAGGGGACAGAGGCUGCAGUAAGCCAAGAUCACACCACUGCACUCCAGCCUGGUGACAAAGUGAGAUCCUGUCUAAUAAUAAUAAUAAUAAUCAUAAUCAUAAUCAUAAUCAUAAUCAUAAUCAUAAUCACUAUGGCUGCUAUGUGGAGAAUGACCGAAGGGGUAAGGGCAGGAACGGGAGGCCCCUUAGACUGUUCCAGUGAGUCCAGGUGGGAGGUGGUUGUGGCUCGGGUGAGGGCUGGGGUCAGAUUCUGGGGAUAUUUUGAAGGUGGAGCUAAUGGGAUUUGCUGUUGAUCCUUCCAGGGGAGACAGCUGUGUAGCCGGCAGCGUUGUGCACAUGCGUGCAGCCGGCAGCAUUUAUCAAUGAGGCAAACAUCGUGCAGUGGCCUUGGAGCCACACACACCUGGAGCCACACACACCUAGGUCUGGAUCUCAACUCCACGCAUCCUAGUUGCUCAUCUCCAGCAGGCUACGUCUAACUCUCCCAGCCUCCAUUUCUUAUAAACUGGGGAUAACAAUUUUUAUGUUAUGAGAUUACUGUGAAAAUUAAGUGAGAUAAUGUAAAAGAAGGUCUGGCACAAAGUUAAUUAUGAUGAGUUUAAAUAAUGUGGUUUCCUGUGAGUCCUGAAUAUACAGCAGAGAUCAGUCGGGGGAGGGGCGAAUGAGCAAAGGAUCCCUGCAGGGGAGGCUGGGAUCCUGCAGGAGGCACUUGCCAGAGCUGGGGGCAGUCAAGACGACCCAGGAGGGCAGUGGUGGGGAGACGGUGAGAGUCCACGGCCCACUUGCCUUCCCAAGUGAGGAUGGGGAAUUCCAAAGCCCAGGAAGACGCGGGUGGGGCGACCUUUAGAGAAAAGACAGUCAGAAGGGAAUUCCUUGGAUAAAGGCGGAGAUGUGGAAAAUGGGAACGCCACCAAAAUCUAGAGAGGAUGAGGUCAUCCCAGCUGAAGCCAAUCAAAACUUUCCCUGGAGCAGGCAAAAAAAAUAAAUAAAUAAAUGGAAGGGUUUUAGUAGGCCAGAAACUGGAGAUUUCUAGCAGCUGCCAAGAAAGGAAGCGAGCCCUGGGCCCAGAGCCCAUAAGCCCUGGGAGGCCCCACCCUGGCUAGAAAAAGAGACUGGUGGGUGCUGGGGCGCAGCCCAGAAGACAAAAGGGGAGGGGAAGCCAUCUGAGUUGUCUGGGGGUGGUGAUGGGGUGCGCUCCUGGAAAAGCCAUUAGAUCCUCGUCGGAGGCGGCCAGCAGAGCUCUGUGUCCCACUGCUCUGUAGGCAUUUUUCCUUAAGAAAGACAAGAAACAAGAUUAGUAUUCCUUCAAUCAGAACUGUUCUACUCAUUUAUACUUAGGAUGCUUUCCCAAUAAACCAGGGUCUAGCCAGGAGUUUAAACCGAGGGUCUGCCCUUUUUACCUACCUAGAGAGAGUGCUGGGAUUGAAUAAAUGUGGGUUCAAAUCCUGCUUGAUUGUGGGCAGGGGGCUUGACCCCGGAGUGCUGUGACAUGCAGAUCACACUUGAUUGUGGGCAGGGGGCUUGACCCCAGAGUGCUGUGACAUGGAGAUCACACUUGAUUGUGGGCAAGGGGCUUGACCCCUGAAUGCUGUGACAUGGAGAUCGCACUUGAUUGUGGGCAGGGGGCUUGACCCCUGAAUGCUGUGACAUGGAGAUCGCACUUGAUUGUGGGCAGGGGGCUUGACCUCAGAGUGCUGUGACAUGGAGAUCGCACUCACUUGCAUGUGUUUGGGGGUGGCUGGCUUCUCCCCUCCACCCCCAGGGUGUUAGAGAAUUGAAGGAGACAUAACGACCGUGAGAGUGGACACUUGGGCACACAGUCCAUUCUUUCCCGUGUCAGGAAAGUCACAGGCGCUGGCUUCCAGGGGUAGGAGUGGAGGGUCUGGAAUAGUGCCCCUGGUCCCAGGGCAGGAGUGUGACCCUUCUUCAGUGUCCUGCAGUUCAGACUCCCUCCCCCUGUGGUUCCACCAUCUGUUCCCACUUCUCCAAGGUCCCAAAUAAAUGGCAUAGAGCCCUCAGGAGGGGAGGCAUCCUUUUCCCAGACUCCCAGACCCCAUGUGGUCCAGGGUGCUGACGUCGGCCAGAAGCAGCCGUGGCGGAGCUUUUC
rnacentral:lncRNA from 10 species